rnacentral:rRNA from 1 species
AGAUUGAACGCUGGCGGAAUGCUUUACACAUGCAAGUCGAACGGCAGCACGGGACUCAGGCAACUGAGCCCUGGUGGCGAGUGGCGAACGGGUGAGUAACAUAUCGGAACGUACCCAGUCGUGGGGGAUAACUCUCCGAAAGGAGAGCUAAUACCGCAUACGUCCUGAGGGAGAAAGCGGGGGACCUAAGGGUAACCGAGGGCCUCGCGCGAUUGGAGCGGCCGAUAUCGGAUUAGCUAGUCGGUGAGGUAAAGGCUCACCAAGGCGACGAUCCGUAGCGGGUCUGAGAGGACGACCCGCCACACUGGAACUGAGACACGGUCCAGACUCCUACGGGAGCAGCAGUGGGGAAUUUUGGACAAUGGGGGCAACCCUGAUCCAGCC